rnacentral:rRNA from 1 species
CAAUAGCGUAUAUUAACGUUGUUGCAGUUAAAAAGCUCGUAGUUGGAUUUCUGGUGGGAGCGAUCGGUCUGGCGCUUAGCGCGAGUACUUGCAUCGUCUCCGGCCAUCCUUGGGGAGAGUCUGUCUGGCAUUAGGUUGUCGGGCAGAGGAUCCUCAUCGUUUACUGUGAAAAAAUUAGAGUGUUCAAAGCAGGCUUAUGCCGUUGAAUAUAUUAGCAUGGAAUAAUAAGAUAGGACUUUGGUACUAUUUUGUUGGUUUGCGCACCAAAGUAAUGAUUAAUAGGGACAGUUGGGGGUAUUCGUAUUCCGUUGUCAGAGGUGAAAUUCUUGGAUUUACGGAAGACGAACUACUGCGAAAGCAUUUACCAAGGAUGUUUUCAUUAA